UACGUAGGGGGCUAGCGUUGUCCGGAAUCAUUGGGCGUAAAGAGCGUGUAGGCGGUCCGGUAAGUCCGCUGUGAAAGUCGGGGGCUCAACCCUCGAAUGCCGGUGGAUACUGUCGGGCUAGAGUGCGGAAGAGGCGAGUGGAAUUCCUGGUGUAGCGGUGAAAUGCGCAGAUAUCAGGAGGAACACCAAUGGCGAAGGCAGCUCGCUGGGACGGUACUGACGCUGAGACGCGAAAGCGUGGGGAGCAAACAGG
rnacentral:rRNA from 1 species